rnacentral:lncRNA from 1 species
GUUAAAAGGCUGUACGAACUGUCAAAGAAUAUGGCGCCUAACUGGUUCAAUUAUUCUGAUUCACCAAGUGCAUUUGGUUUUUUGAAACAAACCUCUGUACAUGUGCUCUUUACAAGACCCCCUCAGGGUUUACCUUCUGCAGGUAUAAAGAGGGAAUUAAUUAAUCCUCAUCAAACUGGUGUUCAUGCUCAGACCCCAAGUGUUGCCUCAAGCCCUCAACCCCAACAGACCCAACCACAACUCUAAACCGAACUACAACUCCAAAUCCGACCACAAAGCCCGACCACAACUGGAAACUCGACGACAACUCCAAAUCUGACCACAAUUCCAAAACCUAAAACCCCAGUUGAUAAAUAUUACCACACCAGCUGAUGGAACACCAGAAAAUAACACACAGUCCACACAGAAUAGAAGCACACCUGAUGCCCAACUAGAGGAAAUAAAAAAAGAAGUGCGAGUAAGUACUUAUUUUCUAAACUCAAAAAUCAUGUGCUUAUAGUUCUGAAGUACAUUCCGGGUUCCUUAAUUAACCAAAACUGUCAAAUUAAAUAGGUUUUAAAUCAACCACUUAUAACUAUUUGUAGGUCAGUUACUGUAUGUUUGAUUCAGGUCUUUUUCUACUUUGAUGUAAUUGCGACCUAUGUAUCAAAGCUACAGAUUAAGGUGAAUUGGAUAAUUUGUCAAUCUGGCACUUGAGAAUGUUUAACCCAUUGAGCUGCAAUGCGCCCAAGUGCGCCCUACUUAUUUUUUUUACUUGUUUAACGCCAGACGAUUUUACUCGUCAGUUGGGAAGCUCCAACUUCGUUCCCAGGGCUUGCAUGUGAGGACGAGGGGAGAGACGAGAAAGUCGUGGGCCGAGCCAGUCAAUCUUGCGUUCUAAUUGGCUAACGCCAUGUUGUCUAGAAAUAGCAGAACUUGACAGUUGACAAUAACAAUUCAACAUAUCAAUUCAAUCCGGACAUAACAAUUUAACCCUAUAUAUUUUUAUCAUUAUUGUGUACGAGUAUAUUUUGCAAAAUAAUCUUUCAAAGUAAGGAGGUUUCAGUUUUCCCGACUGAAUGAUUUACUUUCGCCUCGACCGGCUACAAAACUCAAAAGCCGUGAACUGUGAUGUUUCCUGACAAAACAAGAAACAUCUACUAUUAAGCAGUAGUUUUCCUUGUACAGCAUUUAUAAUGUACUAAUGUAGUGCAGAUGUAUGAUGAAAUACUACGCUUAUUGCAUUGUAGUAAUACUAUAAUUUACAAUAUUCUAUACUGACAAAUAAAAACAAGACAAACAAUUAAACGAAACUACUAAUUUAGACCCUGUUUGCUUAGCUCUACGCGCAGGUAUUAUUGCGAUGAUACGAUAAAAUAAAUCGAAGAUUGUGAAGGGGGGUAAAUUAUAGGCAAGCAUUGCCCCUGAACGGCAAGUGUUGGUGUCGAAUCCGUAAAUAUUUCGUGACUUUCCUGUACAGCGUCAGCAACGUUACGCGAGGUUUUAUAUUUGUGUUUAUUUUGAUCGAACUAAGUCUGAGAGCAUAUUCAAACUAAAUAUUAAAGGCAAUAGCUGUAUAGUUCAAGACGAGAGCAAGCAAAUCUUCUGUGAAUGUCUACUUGGAGACGCCUGGAUGCAGCUAGGAAAUCAUGUCUGUCGAGAUACAGUUGUGUCUUUGGCUUUGCCUGUCACUGUGGUUGAAAAACGCCGGAGAAAGGAUCGAUUAGAUCGAUGUCUUCAGAGAUUUCAGUUGAUUCGUGCCAAACUUCGCUGCACAUAAAUAAUAUCGAUUGAGAAGUGUUUUGCCUGUUUAUUUGUUUCGAAGACUUGUAUAUUUCAGUUAAGAAUAUCUCGCCACUCCUUGACAAGUAGCUGUCAAAUAUAUCGAUAUUUUGGGUGGUCACCUGAACGGUUCAGACCAGGGCUUUCUCGUCUCUGCCCUCGUCCUCACACGAAAACCCUGGGAACGAAUUUUGGGAAGCUCUGCAGCUUAAUGGGUUAACCAAAAAAUCUGGCAAUGUUUCCAGUUAACCCAUUGAGCUGCAAUGCGCCCAAACUGCGCCGUAAUUAUUUUUUUACUUGUCUAACGAUAGACGAUUUUACUCGUCAGUGCGGAAGCUCUGCAGUUUAAUGGGUUAAUCUUUCAAACAAACAUUACUGGUAUGGAAAGUAUUUAUGUGUGCAUUGGUGUUAUAGUUCAUGAACGCAUACAACUUGAUCAGAAAAUCUUUACUGUCAAGAACAUAUUUCACAAUUCAUCACAUAAAGGGCAAAAUUACUCAAAUAUGAUUGGCUAAUAAGGACGGCAUUUUUUGUUAGUUCAGAGCAAAAUUAUUUGUACCUGAUUGGCUGAGAUGCAAGCGCGGGAAGUUUCUUGUUUUAAUUGUUUUAAUAGCAUUAAAAACGAUGGUUUCUCGCUUUGUCGUCGCGGAUAAUGAUGUUCUUGAAGAAUUAAAAAUUUCUUGUGAAAAUUUAAACACUUGAAAAAGUACAAAUUUAUUGGUUGGAGUAUUUAAGAAAUGGGCAGCAUAUUAAUUAAGGAACAUCGGCGAAGACAUGGAGACAUACGAGGUUCAAGUACUUGACAUGUUCACAAUUAACUUCCGAAUAAUUGCCCUCUAUGAUUAACCAGUAAUCGCAUAGUUCCUUGUAAAAUUAAGAUUUCAUUUCACUUGUGUUUUCAAAGUUUACGUGAAAUUAAACCUUAAACUAUUUUCUCGGCCCUAUGCAUGAGAUUACCUACAUAUAUUUAGAGAUGUGUACAUUUUAUAAUGCGAUUUCUUUAUUUCUUUUAUUAGUCAAUGCUCACACCAAUUGCCUUAAACUGAGGUAGAUAGAGCGAAAAAUUAUUCAAAAUUAACAAAGACCCUGUUGGCUGCUAUGUUUGAUCGAGAAAUAUUGCAAAAAUCAUCUUUAGCUGGGAAGAAAAAUAAUGGUGAACAACUUGAUCCAAAGUUCAGAUGAUAAUAC